ensembl:miRNA MIR346 microRNA 346
GGUCUCUGUGUUGGGCGUCUGUCUGCCCGCAUGCCUGCCUCUCUGUUGCUCUGAAGGAGGCAGGGGCUGGGCCUGCAGCUGCCUGGGCAGAGCGG